GCUUAACUGAUAAAACGUCUUUAUUUUCAUUGCACCUGAUAAAGGUUUAUUCGUACAUUGUUAUUUAUUUAUUUUUUUAGUCAGUUGAGACAAAAUGUUGACUUGUGUUUGCCUUGUAGAAGAGAGGAGUACUGCAACCAUUUGACAAAGAACAGAUAAGAGUGGGCUCGUCAUACAAACAACAGCAACAACAAACCUAACUUGUUAUCAUCCACAUUACGAUGACUGCACCAGUGUAAAAAUUAGCGGACAACAAUUUCAGGUCAAUAACGGGAGUAGGUUAAUGUUCGGGCUCAGUCUUCGUUUAAGAAAAUACGUCACAAAAGACUUGUUGAUGUACGACAGUCACACACUAAUAUUAAACCUCAUAUCCAUCAGACCUUUCCCACUGAAAGCAACGAAUCAAGAUUUUGCUGCAUCAUCCUCAGAGUGUUUUCAGCUUCCUGGGAGGAAAACAACAUACAAUGGAUGAGUGAGAAAGAGUCGUCAUUUGUUACCUGCAGACGAGCCAGUCUCCCUGACGUCCUCAGAUGUUUGACUACACGGAAGAGCUAACGCUCCUCGUCCAAUCAUACAUUGCUCUGCUCCAGUAAAGGCCAAUGGGAGACGACGAUGUUG